rnacentral:miRNA from 1 species
UUUUUAAUCUAGGCAAAAAUAAUGGGGGUUUAGUUACUAUAUAAACCCCUAUAUAUAUUAACUAAACCCCCAUUAUUUUUGCCUAGAUUAGGUU